GCCCUUGUAGCUCAGCCGGUAGAGCAGCGGUUUUGUAAACCGAAGGUCGCGGGUUCAAAUCCUGCCGGGGGCACCA
rnacentral:tRNA from 2 species